rnacentral:lncRNA from 1 species
AUGGGAGGCUGCAGGAAGCUGAUAUUGAGUAGUAAGUGAUGCGGCUUCACAUUAAUAACUGCCGAUUCAUUGCCAGUUCAUUUUCCCUAGCCUCCACCACCAGAAAUCAGCAGCAGCUGCAUCCUGUGUCAGGAACUCCUGGACCACCAUAUGAAUUGCCUCAACGGUUACCAGUGUAGCUGGCAGGGUUGCAGUGGUACUGGCUUCUGGCUUGGUCCCCCAGACUUCCACCAGGAGAGGAGAGGCGUGGAGUGAGAGAGGCAGGCACCAACCACGUGCUGAGAGGAGCCUGUUUAUUCUUUGCCUUCCUCAACUCGCGUGAGUUUCACCUCUGCUCCUUCUAAGAUUUCCCCUUUUUAGCAGGAUACCAGUCAUGUUGGAUUAGGGCCCACUCUAGUGAUCUCUUUUAAACCUGAUUACCUCUGGAAAGACCCUAUCUCCAAAUGAGGACACCCUGUGAGUACUGCAGUCUCCUUUGCAGGCAGAGGUGUCAGAUGACACACGGGCUUAGGAUUUCUUGGAUGUUUUGCUUUUCUGACAGUUUCCUCCUAUUUGCGCCCCCUUGUUCUGCUUCUCUGGAACAUAGUGGUGGUGCUGGAGUUGUACUAGCCUGUGGAUGACCAGGACGCACAGAGAGGAGGACGAUGAUGUGAAGAGACAGAGAGCCACAGGGAGAACACAGAGGCGGAAAUUAGAGACAUGCAGCAGCAAACCAAGGAACACAAGAACUGAUGGCCUCACCAGAAGCCAAGAGAAAGUAGGAAGUUGUACCCAGAGUCUCAGAAGGAGUGUGGCCCUGCUGACACCAUGAUUUUGGACUUCUAGCCUCCAGAACUGUGAGCAAAUACAUUUCUGUUAUUUAAGAUGCUAAAUUUGUGGUACUUUGUUACAGCAGCCUCAGGGUACUUAUACCCACCCUAAUGCAUUCACUUUCUCCUCUGGGUCUCCAGACUCUGUUUUGAUGUAAGAGCCUCUUAACCGGUCCCUCAGCUUCCAGUGUUACUUCCUUUCCAUUCCUGCUCCAUGAAACAGCUUGAAUGAGCUUUCUUUGUAUUUUGUAUUAAUUUUUAAAAAAAUUUUGGCCACGCCCAUAGUAUUUAGAACUUCCUGGGCCAGGGAUUGAACCUGAGCCAUGGCAGUGACAAUGCUGAAUCCCUAACUGCUAGGCUGCUAGGGAACUCCUAUUUAUUCACGUACAGUUGAUGUAUAAUUUGUGUUAACUUCUGCUGUACGACACAGUGAUUUGGGUUUAUAAUAUAGAUAUUCUUUUAAAAAAUAUUCUUUUGCAUGAUGGUUUAUCAUAGGAUAUCAUAUAGUGCAGUUCCCCGUGCUAUACAGUAGGACCUUGUUGUUUAUCCAUUCUAUAUAUAAUAACUUACAUCUAACCCCGACCUCCCACUUCAGCCCUCCGCCAGCCCCCUCCUUCUUGACAACCACAAGUCUGUUCUUCAUGUCCACAAAUCUGUGUCUAUAUGAAUGAGCUUGCUAAAGCUCAAAUUACUGUCCUGUUUACACACGUUUCAAUGGCUUCCUGAUAUUCUAAAGAUAAAUUCUGAACUCCUUACCUGAUAGCAAAAGGCCGUAUGUGCCUCUCCAGCAUCAAUUAGUCUCGCGCUUUGCAGCUACUUUCCGUGCCUGCAAUUCCACCAUUGUUCCUACCCUGUUUGACCUCUCGGCUUUCAUUCUCAUUAGAGGUCUUUUCUCCUGAGAAGCCAUCCUCGACUCUCCUGAUAGCGGUAUCACCCUUGCUGCAUGCUCUCUGAAAGUCUGGUUCUCUCUCCAUCAGAGCACAGAUCCCAUUUGUUACACUGCCUGCCUGGUUGUCUGUCUGCCUUCCUAUUCUGUAAGCUCCUGGGAGAGGGACUGUCUCCUCCAGCACGAUAGCAUCAGUGACCAACUGUGACUGCCCCAUUUCAGAUGCUCACUAUAGUGGAUUGAUGGGAACUGCUUUCCCCUGAGCUCCAGAUUUUGCAAGAUUUUAACUACUAAACAGUUUAUUACUUAAGUUAACCUUGUGGGGUUUAUCGGGGGUAUCCAUGCAUGAUUUUCUUUCCUUUAUUUCUUCCUCCCUCCCUCCCUCUCUCUCUUGCUUUCUUUCUGUCUUUCUUCCUGGCCACCCCAUGGCAUACAGAGUUCCCAAGACAGGGAUCAGAUCUGAGCUGCAGUUGUGAGCUGUGUUCCAGAGACACUGCCGAUCCUGUUACACGACACUCCUUUUUUUAAAAAAAAAUUUGAAAAUUGUUUUAAGAACUUCCAAGCUGUUUUCUUUUUGAGGAAUAACCCCGAGCCUAACAAUCCUGGUUUUCAAAUCUAGUCCAUCUCCUUCCAUUUCACAGAUAAGGAAACCGAGGCCCAGAGAGGGCAGAUGACUUGUCUAAGGUUGAAGUGGGUUGGUAAGGUCCCCAGGCUAAAACCCAACUUUUCUGAAUUCCAUCCAGGAUUUUCUCUGCUCUUUCACGAUAGCUAAGCCAGAUGUAUAUUGAUGUAAUGCUUAACAACCAGCUCUCUCGGGGGAGAAAAGAGCAUUGAUUUGUAACAUUUGUCAGUUUCUAUGAUAGGCAGGCUUUCACUUUGGCUAAUUUCAAGCUACCUAUGUGAAGUCACUGACCAUGAGCCUUGGUUCCAAUAGACUCCAAAUUUCAUGCGCUCUGCUUUCUUAAAUGUCUGUAGUGUUGGAGGCUCCAGCCCCAGCCCCCAAAAGUGGCUAUUGCCAGAACAUGCUAAAUUCUGGCAAUGAAAUGAUGUAAAAGGCUAUAAAUAAAAAUAAAAGAUCCCAAAGGAAUGAC